rnacentral:rRNA from 1 species
UACAGAGGUCUCAAGCGUUUGUUCGGAUUCAUUGGGCGUAAAGGGUGCGUAGGUGGCGCCGUAAGUCGGGGUGUGAAAUUUCGGAGCUUAACUCCGAAACUGCAUUCGAUACUGCGGUGCUUGAGGACUGGAGAGGAGACUGGAAUUCAUGGUGUAGCAGUGAAAAUGCGUAGAGAUCAUGAGGAAGACCAGUGGCGAAGGCGGGUCUCUGGGCCGAUACUGACGCUGAGGAGCGAAAGCGUGGGGGAGCGAACAGG